UGGAGUGUGUUGCUGUUCCUAUUCGGCC
rnacentral:piRNA from 1 species